AUGGCCAGACCUCCAGAAGUCAUGUCUAGCUUAGACUGCAACAAGUGCAAUUUUCACAGUUUCUGUCCUCUUUUCCCGAUAUUGUCACACUGGGGAUCUGACUUCUGGCUCUUUUUCUCCAAACUGGCCUACCCAGCCAGUCCUCCUAUGAGACUUGGGCCCCAGAGGCCACCGACUCCUUGUUGAGUUUUCCCAUGGUCUCUCCGACUUGACUUCCUUGGCUUUCUUCUAGAUCAACAAACACUGGUUGAGCAUCUGUUGUGGGUUAGGGACUGAGCUAUACAGGUAAGGGGUGACGAAAAAAACAAUUAAGACACAUUCCUCGCCUUUUAGGAGCUCACAGUCCAGGGGAAGAGGCAGUCCGGAAACCAGGCGCGACCACAAUAUAUGAAGGGACGCCUCUAAGACAGGUGCUGCUGAUGAAAGUGCUAAAGGAGCUGGACGUGACUGACGUCGGUGGGAAGGAUGAGGCUGUGUGCGCUCAUGCAGCUGUGCUGUCCAAAUGCUGUUCUUACCUCCCAAUGGAAAGCUGAUCAAGGGCCAUGCUUGGGACAGCACCAGAAGAGCCUUCCAGCAGACAGGCCAGGGAGGAAGCCAGGGUCAGUGAGUGAAGAGGAGAGCAGAGCCAUUUAAAGCAACACGGUUUAUGUAAGUGUGAUCUAAUUGCUUCCACUGGAAAUGGGUCAGAUUUGA